GUCCUGGCCCUAAACGAUGUCGACUAGAUCGUGGCGGCUCUGACGUCGUCACGGUCGAAGCAAAAGUGCUAAGUCGACCGCCUGGGAAGUACGGUCGCAAGGCUAAAACUCAAAGGAAUUGACGGGGGCUCACACAAGCGGUGGAGCAUGUGGUUCAAUUCGAAGCAACGCGCAGAACCUUACCUGGGCUUGACAUGCCAGGAUUAUCCCCAUGAAAGUGGGUAGGCCCUUCGGGGUACAACUGGUACAGGUGCUGCAUGGCUGUCGU
rnacentral:rRNA from 1 species